rnacentral:rRNA from 1 species
GAUGAACGCUAGCUACAGGCUUAACACAUGCAAGUCGAGGGGAAACGACAGAGGAAGCUUGCUUCCUUUGGGCGUCGACCGGCGCACGGGUGAGUAACGCGUAUCCAACCUUCCCGCAAGUAAGGGAUAACCCGUAGAAAUGCGGCCUAAUACCUUAUGUUUUCCUUAGAUGGCAUCUGAUGAGGAACAAAGAUCCGUCGCUUGCGGAUGGAGAUGCGUCUGAUUAGUUAGUCGGCGGGGUAACGGCCCACCGAGACGACGAUCAGUAGGGGUUCUGAGAGGAAGGUCCCCCACACUGGUACUGAGACACGGACCAGACUCCUACGGGAGGCAGCAGUGAGGAAUAUUGGUCAAUGGGCGCAGGCCUGAACCAGCCAAGUCGCGUGAGGGAUGACGGUCCUACGGAUUGUAAACCUCUUUUGUUUGGGAAUAAAGUGCGGGACGCGUCCCGCAUUGCAUGUACCAUUUGAAUAAGGACCGGCUAAUUCCGUG